AUACGGAGGGUGCGAGCGUUGUUCGGAAUUAUUGGGCGUAAAGAGCAUGUAGGCGGUCUGUUAAGUCUGGUGUGAAAGCCCGGGGCUCAACCCCGGAAGUGCAUUGGAUACUGGCAGACUUGAGUAUGGGAGAGGAAAGCGGAAUUCCGAGUGUAGGAGUGAAAUCCGUAGAUAUUCGGAGGAACACCAGUGGCGAAGGCGGCUUUCUGGACCAAUACUGACGCUGAGAUGCGAAAGCGUGGGGAGCAAACAGGAGUAGAAACCCCAGUAGUCC
rnacentral:rRNA from 1 species